GCAGUUCAUGCACCUGAUGCAGCAGACAGCAUGAGUCGUGGAGAUUUUGUUGUUGGCAUGCAUAAUAGUUGACAACUUUUCAAAUGAGGGUUUUUGCAGCAUGUGGAAUUGCUAAAUGCUAACUUAGUAUGCACAGCAGUUGUGCACUACGUUAUGUUAUGAAGCUGGAACGGCUCAUUUUCUACCAUGUAAUAUUGUUCUGUACUACUGCAAUGAAAUUUGCUGCUCUCCUGUUAUUUGUGAAAAAAAAAGGGAAAUAACUGGGACAACCUGCUUUUCUCGUUGACGGUUGCAAAAUGCAAAAGGGUCGACACCUUUCAGGCCUCUAAUGCUUCUUGGUCCCUCUAUCUCCAACAAGGAAGAGAGAUUUCUAUGAGGGCCAAAUAAAUCAGUAGCCAUCCCUGAAACAAUCAGAAUGAAAGAUCAUAACCUAAUUGUCUACAAGAGUAUGAAGGAAAGCGAUUGACGACUGUUACUGACUGAAAACAAAAUCUCAGCAAACCAAAGGGGAAUUCAUAUGAUGAUUCACUUACCUGAAAGCGUGCAACUCAUGUUCCAGGUCUUCCAGCUGCUUGCCGUGCAUUUUCUCUCCUUCGGUUACAGGUGACGAACAUUUGGAACCUCCAUAUAUUUGCAAGGACACGAAUUGGACGAAGCUUUGACAAAUCUCUCCUCAGCACCCAUGACUCAUUUCACUUCUCAGCAGUAAAGGCCCUAGCUAUGAGAGAGUUCUGAGGAAGGCAGUUUGAAGUUGGAUGUAGCAGCCAGGUGCUCUUUCUCAUACUUAUGAAGCAAACAACAUCCCUUUUUAGAAACAGCAGGAGCCAACCGAAAGAUAAGAAAAAGGUAGUAAACUAGUAAUGCUGAAAAGGUCGACAGGCUGUGUGUGGCUAAGCGGAAUGCUAGGGCACGAAAGAAAAAGUUCAGAAGCUGAGAUCGUUGGCAGGAGGUGAAGUAUUUGUUUAACGGUCUCAAGGAAGGAUCAGGGAAGUGUAGCAGCCAAUCGGAGAGGCAAAUCUGGCUGGUUUAAUGAAACAAGACAAGGCCAACCUAAAAACAUGUGAAGCAGAUAUUCCACGCAGGCCUUGCCGGGACAAAAGAUAUCAAAGGUUUGGGCUAGUUUGCAGCAGAGAUCUGAAGAUACCAUGGGCCCACGACAAUGAGUUAUCCUAGGCUGUCCUUCACCGUCGUCACAAUCCCAACUCUGGAUCUUGCCCACAGCCGCCUCAGAAAAGUUGUUUCUGUACUGCUGCUUCAGCAUGUUCCACCCUGCAUGCCUUACCAAGAUUCAUGGACGUCUGGAUCUCAGAUUAAGCUCUUGUUAACUCCUUAAUCACACCGACACGGUUGGAGAAUCUACAUUUUUUCUUUUUCCAGCAGCUGUGUUGAAUACUUGAAUGUUGAUGUGUUCUCCUCCAUAUGUUAUGCUCAUCCGAUGACAACCAAAUAUCUAACUGGGAAAGGAAAUUCGCUACGUCAUGGACAUCCACGUACCACUCAAA